UAUCCUUUUGAACCAUCUGCUGAGGAGACAUGCUAUUAUAAUUUUCAUUCCUUUUUCUUCCUCUUUCCUCCCUCAAGGAAUAAAAUGUGUGUACCUCAAUCAAAAACUGAAUGAAUAGCUACUUCUCUCAGAUCUUCGUCUGUGUUCUUUACAUUUUACCAGUUCCAGAAGAGGAAACUGAAUGGAACAUUCUGCAUCAACAAAGAUAAAUAAUUUAUGCCUGAAACAUCAAGUGAUCUUCUGCAGAGCUCUGCUUAUAAUCUCUCUCUCUUACAUUUUAUCAAGAGGAAAGGUAAAAAAAAUCAGGAUGAACAGUAGGGAGUCUAAGACAUUUUUCUAUAAGCUAUGAAAAACAGAUUAUUCUUUCUUGUUUUGGAAAACUCUUUUAUGUAUUUAAUGUGUGGUAUCAUGAGCUCUCUAAGUCUUCAGUUCUUUAAGUCAAUUUCAUUUGCAAAUCAGUAUCAUUUUGAACUCUUGCCCUGUGCUUCAGUUUGACAAUCACAGAUGAUCAUGUGUGAGUCCCUUUUGGAUUUUAAAGACCUGUAUUUCAUAUGGCUCCUAUUUGUUUCUUGCUAAAAAUUCCUCAUCUGUCUACGAAGUCAUUGGAAGUCA